rnacentral:rRNA from 1 species
AGCUAACGCUGGCGGCAUGCCUAACACAUGCAAGUCGAACGGAAAUUUAGCUUCGGUUAAAUCUUAGUGGCAAACGGGUGAGUAACGCGUGGGAAUCUACCCUCUGGUGGGGGAUAACUAAAGGAAACUUUAGCUAAUACCGCAUAUUCCUGGAAACAAGGAAAGAUUUAUCGCCAGAGGAGGAGCCUGCGUCAGAUUAGGUAGUUGGUAGGGUAAUGGCCUACCAAGCCUGUGAUCUGUAGCUGGUCUGAGAGGAUGAUCAGCCACACUGGGACUGAGACACGGCCCAGACUCCUACGGGAGGCAGCAGUGGGGAAUAUUGGACAAUGGGGGAAACCCUGAUCCAGCAAUGCCGCGUGAAUGAAGAAGGCCUUCGGGUUGUAAAGUUCUUUCGCCUGUGACGAUAAUGACGGUAGCAGGAAAAGAAGUCCCGGCUAACUCCGUGCCAGCCGCCGCGGUAA